rnacentral:tRNA from 1 species
GGGCCAUUAGCUCAAUCGGCAGAGCAGCUGACUCUUAAUCAGAAGGUUACAGGUUCGAUUCCUGUAUGGCCCACCA